GGCUGCUGUGGGAACAAAACAAGGCCUUGGAAUUAAUGGAUGCAUGUUUGGAAGAUUCAUGUGUUGCAUCACAGGUAUUACGAUGCAUACAAGUAGGUUUACUAUGUGUUCAGAACCUUCCAGCAGACAGACCAGCAAUGUCAUCAGUGAUUUUCAUGUUGGGUAAUGAGGGAGCAACAUUGCCUCAACCUAAACAUCCUGGUUUCUUCACGGAAAGAAGUUCAGUGGAUACAGAUACAAUGUCAGGAAAGAUAGAGUUACAUUCAGAAAAUGAAGUAACCAUCUCAAAGCUAAAAGGUAGAUGGAGAAUUCAAACAUCUGCUUAGUGAAUUAGUUAUGCAGGUGCCAGCUUCUCUGACUGAAACGGCUUGCAAAGGUUCCUCUGUUGCAGCUCAGGGCACUGAAAUCUGCAACUUAAGACUCACUAGUAGAAUUUCUAAAUUCAGAUUCCCUCUGGAUCUGGUUGGUAGUAAGCAGAAGAACAUGUAUUCUACAGUCACUUUAUAUUCCACUUGUUGUAGAAGCCCAAUUGGGGCUACAGCCGAACGCCCAUUAAAAGCCCAAACCAAUUGAGCCUAGAGGAUGAGUGACAAAGCCCAAUGCAAUCUCAAGGCAAGGUGUUUGUACCUUGCAUUUGAUCCACUGAGCUUUAAAAGCAAAGGUGAGGCCAUUGAGCUCUAUGUCAUGCUAAAGUAAUAGCGUUGUAAAAUUAAAUACAUAGCAAGAUUAAUGGUUUUUCUUCAAAAAAUUUUUAUGUAAAUGUUUACAUUCAUGUUUAUUUUCAUAAUAAUAAUUAUUAAAUUAAUAUAAUAAUUUUAAAAUAAUAAAAUAUAAAAAUAAAGAGAUAAAGUUAAAUAUUAUGAUUUUCUUUUUGUCUUAAACAUAUCUUUAUAUUUAAAUAUUAUAUAUGUUCUAUUUAAUAAAUUUUAAAAUAUUAAUAUAUUUAUAUUUAUCUUUAUAAUUUAAUUUGGUAUGUGCAAUAUAAAACUGAAAUAUUAUUAAAAUUUGUAAUUAUAUAUUUUAAAUUUCUUAUAAUUUUUUUUUUGUAUAAUCUAUAAAUUAUAAAAUUAUUAUUUUACCAGUUUUCGUGAAUGUAACAACCUACAUCUCACAACUUUAAAACAUAUUUACAAAUUAAGAACUCAUACAUAUAUAGCGCCAAGAUAAAGGAGAAAGUUUCUAACACUAUAUAAGCAUAAACUCUUUUUAACUACAAAGCUUUAAAAAUUUUUGCGAAACAUUAACUUGAAUGCUAGACAGUUGCAAACCUUAGUGGGAGUUUUCAAAUUUUUUAAGAGAGAGAAUCAUGGUUUAAAUAUUGGUAAAUAUGGAAUAUUUGUACCUAAAUUUUACAGAUAUAUUGGAAAUAUCGGUGAAUAUUUUGACAAAAAUAUUGAUAAGACAAAAAUUAUUCAAAAUUUAUAAAAAUAUUUUUAAAAAUUAAAAAAAUGAUAAAAUAAAUAAAAAUACACAUGUUAAAGUUAUUUUCUAAACAUAAUUGAUAUAGAUAUGAUCAAAUAGAAAAAUAUCGAUAAGUAAGGAUAAAUCAAUCUUAAUAAUUUAUUAUUUAUCCAAUCAAAUUAAUUUUAAUUUAUAAAAUAUUAGAAUUUCAUUAUUUUUGAAUAAAUUUAUAUUUUUAAUAUUUUAAACACAUUCCUAUGCGAAAAUAUCAGAUACUUUUUAAAUAACAAUGAAAAGUUCUUACAAAAAAUAUAUCUUAAUAAGAAAAUAUCAAAGACUUACAUAUUAUUUCGAAAAGAAAUUUAAAACACUUUCCAACAUAUAAAGUGCUUUAUUCAACCAAUAGUAACAAAGACGAGCUUUGACUUGGACUGAAAGCCUGGCCAAGUAAAAAACUGAAACCUUGUCCUCUUGAUGCUGUGUCUUGGACAAAUUCCAGGAAAAACCUACAUUAGAGAAAUUUUAGUAUUUUUUAAAACUAGUGUAUAGAAGUCUUCCUUUCAUCUGUGAGAAGCGUCAAUGGAGACCCAUCUUUUCUUUGCCUUCUUUUGUGCCUGGAUUUGUCUCUCAGUUCCGUUGGAGUCCUGUAUUCCAGCUGAUUCCAUAAGGAUUGACCAACCCAUAGGCGAUGGUGAGACUUUAGUUUCCUCAGGCCAAAGCUUUGAACUAGGCUUCUUCUCUCCUGGCAGCUCCAAAAACAGGUACUUAGGAAUAUGGUACAAGAAUACACCCCGGAUAGUUGUAUGGGUUGCAAACAGAAACAACCCGAUCGCAGAUUUGUAUGGAGUUUUAACCAUCUUCAACAAUGGCGCACUUGUUCUUCUCAACCAGUCAAAGAGUGUAAUCUGGUCUCCCAAUUUGUCAAAGGUACCAGAAAAUCCAGUUGCACAGCUCCUGGAGACUGGAAAUCUUGUUCUCAGGGACAGUAGUAAUGAAAGUUCUGAAAGCUAUAUAUGGCAGAGCUUUGAUGAUCCAUCAGACACAAUGUUGCCAGGCAUGAAGGUGGGAUGGAACUUAAAGACUGGUCUACAACGAAAAUUGACAUCAUGGAAAAGUGCUGAUGACCCAUCCCUUGGAGACUUCUCCUACGGAUUUGAUAUUAAUGUGCUGCCUUAUGUGGUUCUCGGUGUGGGAUCAAGGAAAAUAGUCCGUUCCGGGCCAUGGAAUGGACUUGAAUUCAAUGGUGUUUAUGUGUUGGACAACUCGGUUUACAAAGCAGUUUUUGCUGCCAACAACGAUGAGGUAUAUGCCCUCUAUGAGUGUCACAACAAUAAGAUCCUUUCAAGACUAACAUUGAACCAUUCAGGUUUCAUCCAGCGUCUGGUAUUAAAAAAAGGGAGCUCUGAAUGGGAUGAAUUGUACUCAAUUCCCGGUGAACUUUGUGAAAAUUAUGGCCAUUGUGGUGCUAAUGGUAUCUGCAGAAUUGGCAAGCUGCAGACUUGUGAGUGUUUGACGGGUUUCACACCAAAAUCACAAGAAGAAUGGGACAUGUUUAAUACAUCAAGUGGAUGCACACGAAGAAUGCCUUUGGAUUGCCAAAUUGAAAAGGGAUUUGUAAAGGUUACAGGAGUGAAAUUGCCCGACUUGAUAGACUUUCAUGUGAUUAUGGAUGUGAGCCUUAGGGAAUGCAGGGUAUCGUGCUUGAACAAUUGUUCUUGUACAGCAUAUUCCUACUCAAAAGCAUAUGCCUACUCAAAUCCUAAUGGAAACGGUGGCUGUUUGAUGUGGUCUGGGGACCUGAUUGAUAUCAGAGAGUUAACUUCAGAAAAACAUGCGGAGGACAUCUAUAUCCGCAUGCACACUUCAGAGCUGGGUAAGACACUUGAUUUUCUGUAAAUCACUUUUUGAUUGUAAGCUAUUGGGGUUGUCUCCAAUAGCCUAAGCCCUAAGUUAUCCUGGUAAAUCAAGAUGAAGAAUUACUUAGCUUCCAAAGUCAGGGAUUCAAUUUCACAAGAAGAUUAUAAUCUAGUUAAAACCAAGACCCUAUAUUAUAUUCCAGAAUAACCAUAGCUGUUAGGAUUCAGGUUAACUAAUGAUGAACUGACUUGUAAUAACCCUAACAAGCAGAAAGCAAAUAUCCAAUUCAUUUUCUGAAGAAACAGGGAAAUCUGGGGAAAUGGUUACUUCAUUCUUGUUACUGUCUGGUCCAGGGUUAAACACUUAUCAGAAGAAAAAACUAGUGAUCAUCCUUGUUAUAUCUACCUUUUCUGGAAUCCUCACCUUGGGCUUAGCAGUCUGGUUUCUAUUUCGGAAGAAGAGAACAAUGAGAACAGGUAUGCAUACUUAUCCACCUUGAUGAUUUUAUUGAAGGAACCAUGUGGUUGUGCUUUAAAAGUAGCUUCUAAAUUAUUUUCCCAUUUAACAGAUCAGGAAAGCAAGAAGGAGAAUUUAGAGUUACCUUUGUUUGACUUGCCCACCAUUGCAACUGCUACUAAAAACUUCUCCAACACCAAUAUGAUUGGAGCAGGUGGCUUUGGGUCUGUGUACAAGGUAAUAUGUGCCAUCUUAUGCAUCAGGAUAACCCAAAAAUGAUUUCAAAAGAAAGAAGAAGAGAAAAAUAAUUGCGUCUUGCACAUCAUAUUUUGCAGGGCAAUCUAUCCGGAGUAGCAGUAGCAGUGAAGAGAUUGUCCAAGAAUUCAGCACAGGGUGUGCAAGAGUUCAAGAAUGAAGUUGUUUUGAUUGCGAAACUUCAGCACAAGAAUCUUGUCAGGCUUUUGGGCUGCUGCAUUCAAGGAGAAGAAAGAAUAUUACUCUAUGAAUAUAUGCCCAACAAAAGCUUGGAUUAUUUUAUUUUCGGUUUGAGCUUCUUAUCCCUAUCUGUUAGAAUUAGUUUCAUUUUUUGAUCACCCAUAUUAUGCUCAGUCGUGUUCAACUCAAUUCACACAUCUAAGUAAUUAAUUACGCCUAAUAAAAAAAUUUUAUAAAGGUAGAUGUAUUGUGCAGAUCAAAUCAGAAGAGCAUUAUUGGCAUGGGAUAAGCGCUGCAAGAUUGUUACAGGGAUAGCACGAGGGCUUCUCUACCUCCAUCAAGACUCUAGAUUUCAAAUUAUUCACAGGGAUCUCAAGACGAGCAAUAUUUUACUGGAUGACAAUCUCAAUCCUAAAAUUUCAGACUUUGGCUUGGCAAGAAUUUUUGGAGAGAAUGAAAUGGAAACGAGAACAAAGAGAAUUGUUGGGACUUAGUAAGUUAUAAACCUUUAUAAUCUUAUAAAAUGAUAUUUAUCCCUUCAAAGAACUUACACUUGAAAAUGUUGGUGCAGUGGCUAUAUGUCCCCAGAGUAUGUGAUUGAUGGGCACUUUUCUGUCAAAUCAGAUGUCUUUAGCUUUGGUGUUCUUUUACUAGAGAUUGUUUGCGGUAAAAAGAACCGAGGGUUCUCUCAUCCAGAUCACCACCAUAACCUUCUGGGACAUGUAAGUAGAAAGAACGCAAUGGUGUUUUCUCUUUCUCUCCCUCUCUCAAUUUUUCUCUACUCUAGCUUUUUCUGGCUUUUGUGAAAGAUAAUAAAUAUGAUUUUUGCGCUAGGCAUGGCUGCUGUGGGAACAAAACAAGGCCUUGGAAUUAAUGGAUGCAUGUUUGGAAGAUUCAUGUGUUGCAUCGCAAGUAUUACGAUGCAUACAAGUAGGUUUACUAUGUGUUCAAAACCUUCCAGCAGACAGACCAGCAAUGUCAUCAGUGAUUUUCAUGUUGGGUAAUGAGGGAGCAACAUUGCCUCAACCUAAACAUCCUGGUUUCUUCACAGAAAGAUCUUCCGUGGAUACAGAUACAAUGUCAGGAAAGAUAGAGUUACAUUCAGAAAAUGCAGUAACCAUCUCAAUGCUAAAAGGUAGAUAAAGAAUUCAAACAUCUGCUUUGUGAAUUAUUUAUGCAGGUGCCAGCUUCUCUGACUAAAACGGCCUGCAAAGGUUCCUCUCUUGCGGCUCAGGGCACUGUAAUCUGCAACUUAAGACUCACUAGUAGAAUCUCUAAAUUCAGAUUCCCUCUGGAUCAGGUUGGUAAUAAGCAGAAGAACAUGUAUUCAAACAUCUGCAACUUAUGUGCUACUCUCUUUUUUUUUUUUUUGUGUCUCCUCAGGGUGCAUAGGACUUAUAAUUUGGUUCCAACCUUUUACUUUCAAUUAUCUCGAGAAUUUUUGAAGUUCUAAAGUCCUUUGAAAUAUCAAUAGGAAGUAAAGAUCAGACAAUAAAAACUAAUCAAAUAAGGCUUCUACUUGUGACUGUUAUAAAGCCAUAGGAUGAUGGCUUGCAAUAAUUUCAGGUAAAUAGGGGUAAGAAUUGAAAAUCAACAAAGACAAGUAGGAAUCAGAUGACUUCAUAUGAAUUCUGUUGUCUCUUUGUGUAUACUGAAAAUUACAGUUUACUCAGCAGUAGGUAAUGUGCUUCUGCAAGAUCUCUCUAACAUGAAACUAAAAGAGUUCUUCAUCCCAAAAACACACACGCACACAAAGAAUCUUCAUGUCCAAAUGACAAUUUUUCUUCAAGUUAGUAUUGUUGGAACCAAUGAUUCAUUUAAUACCGAGGCUCAAAAAAGAAUUCCUUGCAAUGGAGAUCAACACAACUCCCAUACAUUUAAGAUGAAUUGACAUUUGUGAAAAAUUUAAGAGGAACCAAUGUUUUGAAAACUGGACCGUGUACUGGCCAUCUCUCUGGUCCGGUUUGCCCCGGGAACCGUUUUCAUGUUAAAACGGUGUUGAACCGCUGAACCGUCCAGCUUCCUAAGAACCGGUCAAGCCCAAGCCUGGGCCAAACUUCCACUUGCCGUAGAAGCCCAAUAGGGGCUACAGCCAGACACCCGUUAAAAGCCCAAACCAGUUGAGCCCUAGAGGGUUUAAACGAGCACCAAAGCCCAAUCCAAUCUCUAGGCUAGGUUGCUUUUUGUGUUGCAAGGUAUUUGAGGCUAGGUUUGGGCCAAACUUCCACUUGCUGUAGAAGUCCAAUAGGGGCUGCAGCCAAACACCCAUUAAAAGCCCAAACCAGUUGAGCCCUAGAGGGUUGAAAGGAGGGCCAAAGCCCAAUCCAAUCUCAAAAGCCCAAACCAGUUGAGCUUGUGCAGAGAUUUGAUCCACUGACUCCAGCUUUAAAAGCAAGGAUGAGGCCAUUGAGCUAUAUGACAUGCUAAUAAAGUAAUAGCGUUGUAAAACUAAAUAUAUAGCAAGAUUAAUGGUUUUUUUUCAAAAAAUAUUCGUGUAAAUAUCUACAUUCAUGUUUAUUUUUAUAAUAAUAAUUAUCAAAUUAAUAUAAAUAAUUAAUAUAAUAAAUUUAAAAUAAUAAAAUACAAAAACAAGGAGAUAAAAUUAGAUAUUUUGAUUUUUUUUUUUGUCUUAAACAUAUCUUUAUACUUAAAUAUUAUACAUGUUCUUUUUAAUAAAGUUUAACAUAUAUAUAUAUAUAUAUAUAUAUAUAAUAUGAAAUUAAAUAUUGUUAAAAUUUGUAAUGAUAUAAUUUAAAUUUCUUAUAUUUAUUUUUUUAUUUUAUAUAAUAUAUAAAUUAUAUAAUUAUUACAUUAUUAGUUUGAUUAUAACUAAGUCAUCGAUUCGAAUAGUGAAUCGAAAAUCAAUAAUAUUUUUUAUUCAAUAAUCCAUCCGAUUCUAAAAACAUUGGAAGGAACUUAAGAAGUUGUAUACCCUAGUUUGUUUUAAGAAACUUAUCUAUAACCAAUUUUGUUAACUAUUUUGCAAUUUAAACAUGCUUGAAUUGGUCAAGUUGAGAAGUGUGGCAUCCACCUUAGUAGACUUGACAUUGGACACUGGAAAGUCCAAGUGAUCCCUUGUCAGUUUUACACUGACGGGAUGGAUUCUAUUGACCGUAGUAUGGUAGUUCUGCCACAUGCUACACUAGAAACUACAGAAUUCAAUUAUCCUACUUCACUUGUUCAUGAUCUAUACCUAUAUAUUUUCAUCCAUCUAAUAAAAUCUAUCUUAUCAGCAAGUAGAAAUGUUGAUAGACAACCGUAUCAUCUCCGCCUUCGUUUUUGCCUUGAUUUCUUUCUUAAUCCUCUUGGAAUUCUCGAUUGCAUUUGAUACUAUAGUUAAGAGUCAAUCCUUAAGUGAUGGCGAGACUUAAGAAUCCUCAGGCCAAAGCUUUGAGCUAGGCUCCUUCUCUCCUGGAAAGUCGAAGAAUAGGUACUUAAGAAUAUGGUAUAAAAGUACCCCACAGACAGAUGUUUGGGUUGCAAAGCAGAUUCUUAUGGAGUUUUAACUGUCACCGAUAGUGGAGAACUUGCUCUUCUCAAUCAAACAAAGAGUGUACUUUGAUCUUCAAAUUCAUCAAAGAGUAGCAGAAAAUCCAGUUGCACAGCUCCUACAGACUGGAAACCUAGUUCUCAAGGAUGAUAUUCAAGAGAGUUCUCAGAGUUAUCUAUGGCAGAGCUUUGAUCAUCCAACAGACUCAAUGUUAGCAGGAAUGAAGAUAGGCAGGAACUUAAAGAUUGGCUUAGAACGAUAUUUAAAAUCAUGGGAAAGUGUUGAUGAUCCAUCUAUCAGAGAUUUCACUUACAGAAUUGAAGUUCGUGGGCUGCCUCAAAUGGUUGUUAGCAUGGGAUCUGAAAAAAGGCAUCGCUCUGGGCCAUGGAAUGGAACUCAAAACAAUGGUCUCCCAAUGGGCCAGCUUUUGUAUUUACUGAGGAUGUGUUGUUUAUACUGCAUGAGCCUAACAAUGAACCACUCAGGUUUGCUCCAGCGUCUUGUUUUGCACCCAAGAAGCUCUGAAUGGGUUGUCAUGUACUCAAAUCCCGAUGACCCUUCUGACAGGUAUGGGCAGUGUGGUGUUAAUGACAUUUGCAAAAUCAACAAGUCACCAAUUUGCGAGUGUUUGACAGGGUUUGCACAAAAAUCACAAGAGAAAUGGAAAGUACUUGAUGCAUCUGAUGGUUGCAUGCGAAGAAUGUCGUUGGGCUGCCAUAGUGGAGGGGUGUUCGUAAAGGUUGCAGGAGUAAAAUUUCCCGACUUGAUAAGAGUGUCAUUUGCAUAAGAGUAUGAGCCUUAAGGAAUGAGAGGUGGAGUGCUUGAAGAAUUGUUCAUGUACAGCAUAUGCUAAUUCAAAUUUUAAUGGAAGCUGUUUGAUGCGGUUGGGUGACUUAAUCGAUAACAGAGAGUUGACUUCAGAAAAGAGUGGUUAUUCGGUUGCUUGGUGUGUGCAGGUCACAGAUACUUGGGGCGUUGCUCAUUUUUUUAUGCGGUUCAAUUUUCAUAUGCUAGUUAGGGAAUGUUUGGUUUAGACGAGUGCUUGUUAAGAUAUUUGCAUACUGUAUUUGAGGGUAUUGAGAAGGUUUAUGUAAUUUGUAUUUUGUCACAAAAUGAUUAAAAAAAAAAGGGAGACUAUUGGCACAUUAGGCUAUGUAGCUUAAGAUUUGCGUACAGUUUUGUUUUAUUCAUUAGGAUUUAAGAUCUUUUUAGAGUGUCUUAUUUUUCAUUUAAGACUUGAGGUUGCUAGCUACUUGAUUCAACUAGGGUGACACAGAUAAACAUAGAAAGUUUCAAAAAAAGGCAACUCAGUGAUUGUUAAGGUGUGGGAUACACCUAGGUUUUAAAAUUGAACUAAAAAUUAUUUAAUUUGUGCUUGAAAACUCCUUAGUGCUCAAGCAUUGAGAAGCACUCAAGCACUCGAGUCUUUUAAGGGCGCUCAAGCACUAAGGAGCACUCAAGUACUCAAGUCUUCUAAGGGCACUUGCUUAUGGAAGAAUUCUCCUAAAUUCUAGUGAUCGGUCUUUUCCAUUUUAAAAAGGCUUAUUUUUAACAAUUGUCUAGAUCCAUUCAUGAGAUUUUCCUAGGCCCAUACAAAUUUUGCCUAAAAAGGUUCUUGGGUUGAUGCUUUUGAGUUAAACAAAUAUAUAUAUAGAUAAAAUUUACCUUCAUGUUCCCAAAACUCUUAAAGAAAUUCAUUGUUACUUUUAGGGUUGUGAAGCAGAUCUACAUCCCCUUGAUCCACUAAGAGCACACGAGGUGAUGCGUCAUUGACAUGAAGUGGAGUGUACAUGCUAGGGAGUAAGACUUAGGAAUAACUUAUGUUACGUAAAAUUGUGUAUUGUACUUUCAUAUAUUGGAUUAACAAUUUGAGAUCUUUAACUCGGUGGCUUUUACAACCACACAUUACGUGAAACAAUGGUUUGUACAUCUCUUUUAAGUGUUACAUAUACUAGCUAGAUGAUAAAACUUUUGAGCCUCUAUUAUCUCUACUAUAGAGACUUCAAAGCAAAAUGAGUGAAAAAUUAUUAAUAGGCCCUUGUGCUUGGCUUAGGAUCAAUUUCAUCAAAUAUUUUAGGAGAGACAACAUAUAACAAGUCAAAAAGUAGAUAAUUACAACUAAUUUGCUUGUAUGUUUGUGUUUUUAUUAAACAAUUCUAGUUUAAAAAGUGUUUUUGACAAAAAAAAUUUAGGUAUUUGAUAAAAUUUAAAAAAACACUUCUACAAAAUUGAAAAAUAAUUUGUAGUGUUUCAUGGAGAAACACUUUAUAAAUAAUUUUUUUAAAAACACUUAAAAAAAAAUGUUUUCACUAAAAAUACUAUGAUGAGAAAAACUAAAACACACUCUUUAUCAUUCCAUCAAUAUUUUCAUCCUUAGCAUUCUAGGCUCAAGAAACUUCCUAUACGAAUUGGAAAUGUCAUAGAAGGAAAUAUAUUUAGAAGGGAAUCCUGACAAAAAGUCUUUCAAAGCCCCUACAUGAUGUUUGAGUGAUACUUGGUCUCUACAUUGAACGGGUUUUUUUUCCUAUAUCCCCUAGAGACAAAAAAAAUCGGAUAUAAUUUCAAAUGGUUUUCCAAAUAAUGAAUGGGAGGUUCCAAGACUUUAAGGGGAAGAAAAGCAGCAGCCCUGUUGGGGAAAAUCACAUUCGUCAGCAUGAAUAGGAUGAGGGUGCUUGCUACUUAAUGGUUCCACUUAGUAAUUAAAUUUAGUACAAAUUUAAUCAUGUUGGGCUGAUGGACCACAACUACACCAGCAACAAAAGGCGGUUGCAACAACAGAACUCAACAAAACCCAGAUCACUCAAGAACUAUGCAAGUAGUUAGGAAUCUGGUAGUGUAUUUUGAAUUGUGCAAGUAGUUAGAGUCUAGUAACGUAGUUUGUUACAAUAAAAAAUAUAAAUAGCAGAGUAAAGAACCUCUCCAUGAUAUAUGAUUUCUUCCUCUUAAUAUAUAGAAACUAGAUUUUCAUCUUCCUGAUACAAACUUUCAUGGUAUCAGAGUUGCCCCUCUUCAUAUCUCCUUCUCUUUGCAUCAGUUUCAUGAUUUCACCAUGACAAUCUCAACUCAAUCCUCUGGGAUACAAGUUGGAGCUGCCAAUUCAUCCUCAACCAUAGCUUAGUCAAUGCAGAUGUUGAAUCAUGCACUGCCCAUUAAACUUGAUAAAGAUAACUACAUGUUGUGGAUAACCCAAAUGGAGAACUUGAUCUAUGCAAACGGCUUGAAGAUCAUGUUGAAGGUCCUACAGUCCGUCCUUCAAAAACAACAAGCAAUGGUGAAACAAAUCCAGAAUUUAUUCUUUGGCAAAGAUUUGACUGAAUGAUCCUCAGUUGGAUUUACUCCUCACUUAUUCCAGAAAUUAUGGGACAAAGAAUAGGGUAUCAAACCUCCCAUGAAGCAUGGUUUUCUUUGGAAAAGAUUUUCUCGGCUUCAUCCAAAGCUCGGGUGAUGCAAUUACAACUAGAAUUUCAGACCAUGAAGAAAGGAUCUCUUUCAAUGAUGGAUUACAUCCUCAAGUUGAAGAAUCUGGCUGACAGCUUAGCUGCCAUUGGAGAACCAGUACACAAUAGAUAUCAUAUUCUGAAACUGCUAGGAGGGCUUGGUGUAGAAUAUAAUUCCAUUGUGGCCUCUCUUAUAGUAAGAGAAGAUGAAGUUUCACUACAUACGGCGCAUAGGAUUCUAUUAACCUAUGAACAACGCUUGAAUCUUCAAAAUUCAACAAAAGACAAUGUAAUCUCUACAAAUCUCACUACCACGUCGUCAUAUCACCACAAAAACAGAAGGAAUUCCAAUCGAAAUUUCUUAGGAAACAAUAGUAGAAUCUUCAACCCUGGACGUAACUCUCAUGCAAACAGAAACUCAACCUCUCAAAAUUGCCCUCAAUGUCAACUUUGUGGAAAGUUUGGACAUGUUGUGGAUCAGUGUUAUCAUCAUUUCGAUAUAAACUUCCAAGGGGUAAAUAACAAUUUUGAAACCAAGUCCCAUGUAACUAACAAUAACCAAGAUCAAGCCCACGCCAUGAUAACAUCUCCUACCCACUCAUCAGCUUUCUCAAACCACAUCUCUGGACAAUUUACAAUCAUAUAAUGGCAAUGACAAGGUGACAAUCGGGAAUGGUACGCAACUUCCCAUUCUUCAUACUGGUACUAAAAUUUUUCAGUUUCCUUCUAAAGUGUUUCAGUUAAAAAGAGUUCUUCAUGCACCUCAUCUUGCAACCAAUCUUGUUAGUGUCUCUCAAUUCUAUGUUGACAACAAUACAUUUGUUGAGUUUCAUCCUCAGUUCUUUUUUGUCAAAGAACAAGUUACCAAGAAAGUUCUUCUUGAAGGUCAUCUUGAACGAGGAUUAUAUAAGUUUCCUACCAUUUUUAGCUCCUCUACAGAUUGCUUGUUCUUCAACUUCAACAACUCUUCAUUUUCAAAUUCCACGACUGAGCUUUGACAUUCUCGAUUGGGCCAUCCUGCUGAAGAUAUAUUUUGAAACAUGCUCUCAACAAUUGUAAUAUCCCUUAUCAAUAUAAUAAACUCCAAAUUUGUUGUGUCUACCAAUAUGCCAAAAGUCACAAGCUACCAUUUUCGUUGUCUAUGUCAAGAGCAUCUCAUCCUUUAGCACUUGUUCAUGCUGAUAUCUGGGGUCCUGCAUCCACUCCAUAUACUUUUGGUGCACGAUUUUUUCUACUACUCAUAGAUGAUUUCUCAAGAUUUUCUUGGAUUUAUCCACCACACACCAAAGAUUAAGAACUUCCGAUGUUGUAAAAUUUCGCACUUCAGUGGAAAAACAGCUUGACUUCAAAAUUAAGAGCCUACAAUCAGAUGAUGGUGGUGAAUUCAAAGCAUUUUCUUCCUAUCUUGUUGCUCAUGGCAUAGAACACAGGUUUUCCUACCCAUACACACCUGAACGGAAUGGGUGAGUCGAGCGGAAACUGAGACAAGUUACAGAAACUGGUCUUGCUCUUCUAACUAAAGCCUCCUUACCUCUCUCUUUUUGGUUGUAUGCUUUCCAUACUGCUAUAUUUCUCAUCAACUGUCUACCUACCAAGAUGCUUAAAUAUCAAUCUCCCUUUCAAACUCUUUUUGGGAAAACUCCUUAUUAUCAUUUUCUCAAGACAUUCGGUUGUCUUUGCUACCCAUAUAUUCGACCAUAUAAUAAGCACAAAUUGCAAUAUCGUUCUACUCUGUGCAUCUUUCAUGACUAUAGCAACACUCACAAGGGAUAUUUAUGUUUCGAUCCAAAAACUACCAGAUUAUACAUAACCAGACAUGUUGUCUUUCAUGAAUCAAUCUUUCCAACUCUAUCACCUUCAACUUCUUCUAAUCCUAGUUUUUUUCCGUUUCCACUCCUGUUUUUCUUCCCAUACACAUGUCUCCUUCUCAUGCUUUACAUUCUAUUGAUGCUCAACAACAUAACCCCACACCUUUGUCUUCAUCACUUCACUUAUCUUUUGACCACAUCCUUCCUACUAUACAUAACAAUGUUCCUCAACAUCCUCCCAUUAUUAAUAGUCAUCUUAUGAUCAUGCGUGCCAAGGAUGGCAUUAUAAAAAAGAAGGCCUUCUUGUCUCACAUGCCCAUGGAACUAGCAACAUUUGCUUAGGCUUCCAAAAGUAUCUACUGGACCAAGGCUAUGCAACAAGAGUAUGAUGCUCUACUAAAAAUGGAAACAUGGAAUCUAGUUCCUACUCCUCCAAAUGCCAAUAUUAUUGAUUGCAAAUGGGUCUACAAAUUAAAACAUAACCCAGAUGGCACCAUUGCUCAUUCCAAGGCUCGCCUAGUUGCCAAAGGUUUUACCCAAACACAUGGCCUUGACUACUUUGAGACUUUCAGCCUCGUUGUCAAAGCUUCAACCAUCAGAAUAGUGCUUGCUCUAAUUAUCUCAUAUAAUUGGACAAUUCGUCAGCUUGAUGUAUAGAACGCCUUCCUCAACGGUGACCUCCAAGAGCAGGUCUUCAUGAGCCAACCACCUGGUUUUAUCAACACCCGGUUUCCUACUCACGUCUGCAAACUUAACAAAGCCAUUUAUGGGCUUAAGAAAACUCCUAGAGCAUGUUACACCAAGCUCGGUCAUGCUCUUCUUGGCUGGGGUUUUCAAGCUUCCUGUGCAAAUAGCUCCAUGUUUUUUCCUCACAUUGCCAACGAUGUGCUUAUCUUGUUAAUCUAUGUUGAUGACAUCCUCGUAAUAGGUAGUGACCCUCAUCGUGUUUCUUCAUUUGCUUCUUGUCUUAAUGCUACAUUUGCUCUUUCGAGAUCUUGGUCAUUUUCACUAUUUUCUUAGUCUGGAGAUUAUGCAAGCAGAAAACUCAGUCCAUUUAAAUCAACACAAAUAUGUCCACGAUCUUCUUCAAAGUACCAGUAUGUUUGAAUCCAAGUAUGCUUCUACACCUGGUAUGGUUGGUCAAAAUUUAUCCAAACAUGAUGGAGGUCAUUUCCAUGAUGUCACACUAUAUCAGAGCAUAGUUGGUGUUAUUCAAUAUCUCACUCUCAUAAGACCUGAUAUUUCAUUUGUUGUCAACAAGGAGUGCCAGUUUAUGAGUAGCCCCUCCAACACACAUUGGCUUGCUGUAAAAUGCAUCUUACGCUACCUCAACUUAUGGUCUUUCCAUGUAACCAUCUUCCGCGUUGGACAUUCAAGCAUACAUUGAUGUCGAUUGGGCUUCUUGUCCAAAUGACAGAAGAAGCACUAGUGGCUAUUGUAUUUUCAUUGGACCAAACUUGGUUUCAUGGUCAUCCACUAAGCAGAAAAUUGUUUCAAGGAGCAGUGCGGAAUCUGAGUAUCGUGGACUAGCUGUUGCCACUUUCGAGAUUGCCUGGAUUCAAUCUCUACUCACCGAGUUAUGUCUUUCUCCUACAAUACCACCAAUUCUUUGGUGUGACAACCAAAGUGCUACCCAUCUUGCUGCCAAUCCUGUUUUUACACACCAACAAAGCAUAUUGAACUCGACCUUCAUUUUAUUCGUGAUAAAGUUCUUCAGAACCAACUCCAUAUUCAGUAUCUUCCUUCUUCCGACCAAAUUGCUGACAUCUUCACCAAACAUAUCUCAAGUUCUUAGUUUUUUUAGCUUUCGGACCAAAUUCUCUAUUGUUUCCAAACCCAUGAGCUUGCGGGGGGAUGAUAGACCACAACUACACCAGCAACAAUCACAACUGCACCAGCAACAGAAGGCAGUUGCAACAAUAGAACUCAACAAGACCCAGAUCACUCAAGAACUGUGCAAAUAGUUAGGAAUCUGGUAGUGUAGCUUGAACUGUGCAGGUAGUUAGAGUCUGGUAACAUAGUUUGUUACAGUAAAAAAAUAUAAAUAGCAUAGUAGAGAACCUCUCCAUGAUAUGUAAUUUCUUCCUCUUAAUAUACAGAAACUAGAUUUUCAUCUUCCUGAUACAAACUUUCACGGGCCAACCUAAUGUUGUUUAAUCUAUUUAACCGUGGAAAUUAGGGAAGUCUUUGAAGAAAAUGAUGGUCAACUUCUUCUACAUUAGAUUAUGCUUUACCUACGGACUAUGCUUUUAAGUCUCAAGACAUUUUGAGAGCCAAUUUUGUUUUUUCCGUUAAGAUAUGGUUAAACCUCGAUAAAUUGAUAUAGGUUUGCUCUAUGGAAAAUCUAUGAAUUAAGCUAAUAUUACUUACUCAUGUGAACUAAUGCAGCUUGAACAUGGCCUACCGAGUCAACAUCAUAAUUAGGUAUGGGUAUAACAACCAAAUACAGAAAGGGGUCCGAGUCCAAUAUAGACAUACUAGUCCCUGUCACGAAAAAGAUGUAGAUGAAGUUGUCAAGGGUCAGUAUAGAAGCUCCGAUGCAAGUGUUUCCUCUUGGUUUUUUCAGAAUUGUAAAUGGAGGGGCUUCCUUUCUUCACCUUCUUUUGCUCUUUGAUUUCUUCCUCAAUCUUCUUGAAAUUUUGUGUCGCAUCAGAUACCAUAACUCCAACCCAGUCCAUGGUUGAUGGUGAGACUUUAGUUUCAUCAGGCCAAAGGUUUGAACUAGGCUUCUUCUCGCCUGAAAACUCCAAGAACAGGUACCUAGGAAUAUGGUACAAGAGUGCCCCACAUACAGUUGUGUGGGUGGCAAACAGAAACAACCCCAUCACAGAUUCACAUGGAGUUUUAACUAUCAGCAUAAACGGAACACUUGUUCUUCUCAACCAGGAAGGGAGCGUGGUCUGGUAUUCGGGUUUAUCAGGAAUAGCAGAAAAUCCAGUUGCACAGCUCCUAGACUCUGGAAACUUUGUUCUGAGAGAUAGUCUUAGCAAGUGUUCUCAAAGCUAUCUCUGGCAGAGCUUUGAUUACCCAUCUGACACACUGUUAGCUGGCAUGAAGCUAGGCAGGACCUCCAACCCUGAUCUAGAACGAUAUUUGAUAUCAUGGAAAAGCCCUGAUGAACCAUCCAAUGGAGACUUCACUUGGAGAUUAGAUACUCCCAGGCUGCCUCAACUGGUUGUUGCAACGGGAUCAACCAAAAAGUACCGCACUGGGCCAUGGAAUGGAAUUCGAUUUAGUGGUAUUCCGGUGUUUCCCAACGAGCAGCACUAUUCACACAUAAUGAUCUUUGAUAAGGAGAAUGCAUAUUACAUGCUUUCAUUUGACAACUACUCUGCUAAUACGAGAACAACCAUCAAUCACUCAGGCUUCAUCCAAUGGCUUCGAUUGGAUGAACACAAUGCGGAGUGGGUUCCUUUGUACAUAUUACCAUAUGACCCAUGUGACAAUUAUGGACAGCGUGGUGCUAAUAGCAUUUGCAGGAAUUCCAGAACACCAAUCUGAUUAAUAAACCUACAAAAUCAUUCAAAUUGGAUUUGAUUAAACCCAGGUAUCAUAGACAUUCCCUCAUUUCCACCUCGGAACAUUUUUUGUUUCCCAUUUAUCGAAAAAAAUCUCAUUAUUGUAAUUGGAUUGGUUCAUUCUUCAUCAAAUCAUAUGGAUCGAUCAAGAUCUAGCAAUGAUGGAAUUUAUAAAUCGCAUGAAGUUUUACCCAACUCCAUAAAUCCAAUCUAAUGCAUUAAAUACAUAUGAUUGGAGGAAUAAAGAGAAAUCAUCUACGUUUCAGCUACUCAUAAGUUCUCUGCACACAUACAAACACAAGGGAAAGUGAGGAAUGAAGCAAUUAAACCAAAGUGAUUUAACAAUUUUUUAUUGUGAAGAAGAAUUUAGUAUUUUAAGCUUUAGUUUGACUCAAUUUUUUCCGUUCACUUGGAAAAAAUUGAAUCUGAAGCUACCUAGAAGCUAACCAGAAAGGACAUGUCAUCAUUGUUCUUUUAACUAUAAAUUUUAUUUUGGGCAUGGCCUAGGUUGAGAAAGGUCCAAUAAGGAUUAGAAAAGUCAUGGAAAGAGAUGUAUAUAGAAGGGAAUCUCAAUAUAUAAAAGUGAUAAAUCAAGUUCAUUCGUCCGCAUGAAAAGGACCAGGGUCGACUUCAUAAUAGUUCCUACUUUCAAAGCGUGGAAAUUAGGGAAGGCAAUUGCGGUCGUGUUCUGCCACCUAGGGUAGGUAAGACCAUUGCAUUUGACUCUCUACCUCAUGUUCAUGUGAUGAUUAUGACGUAGGUGGACAACUGUUUUAUCAGAUUAGAAGCAUAGAAUUCCAAGAAUAUUGAAGACAAAUCAAGGGCAAAAGAAGGCGAAGAUUAACAGAUGGAUUAUUACUCAGAAAGGAAACUAAGGGUGAAUCUUCCCAGACAAUGACACAGAAAUGGGUGAUGGGUGCUGCCGUCCCUUUUUCAAGGCUGCUGUAUCCCAUACAGUUAAUCAAUCUGUACGAAAUUAAUGUUUUAUUGUUUUAAGAGACUUCAAUUUUGUUCAAACCUCUCACCAGUCUUAUGGUGUAUAAUCCUGUGAAAUUAUAACUGAAAAAAGUACUACCCUCCACCUCCAGAGUAUAUAGUCAUCCCAUCUUAGACUCGGUAACAGAUGAUUCACAUAGGCUCUUUCCUUAGGACUAAUAUGGAAUGAAUUCAGGUAAAUGGAGAUAGAUGUUUAUCAAAUUAACAGAGGCAAACCAGACAUCAAGAUUGGCGUGCCAAGCAACCAUUGAGAUGCUAAAGUUCCAGGCCCUAUGACACAAACUCAUUUCAGACAGUAUGAUCUUCUGACUUCCCUUUUUUAAAAAGAAACAUUCAAUUAGGGAACACUUAGGAGGACUCUACAAUUUUAUAUUUCAGUAAGUUGUUUUUCAUUGGACUUGGAAAAUUCCUAGUCACCCUGUUGAGACAGUUCUUCCAAUUGAAAUGCUUAAGCCCUUAAACCUACAUAACGUCAGUACUUUUUUUUUUAAGUAGUGUAUAGAAGUAUUUCUUUCAUCUCUGAGAAACGUUCGAUGGAGACCCAUCUUUUCUUGGCCUUCUUUUGUGCCGGGAUCUGUCUCUCAGUUCCCUUGGAGUUCUGUAUUGCAGCUGAUUCCAUAAGGAUGGACCAAUCCAUAAGCGAUAGUGAGACUUUAGUUUCCUCGGGCCAAAGCUUUGAACUAGGCUUCUUCUCUCCUGGAAGCUCCAAAAACAGGUACUUGGGAAUAUGGUACAAGAAUACACCCCAGACAGCUGUAUGGGUUGCAAACAGAAACAACCCAAUUGCAGAUUCUUACGGAGUUUUAACCAUCAUCAACAAUGGGGCACUUGUUCUUCUCAACCAGUCAAAGAGUGUAAUCUGGUCUCCCAAUUUGUCAAGGGUGCCAGAAAAUCCAGUUGCACAGCUCCUGGAGACUGGAAAUCUUGUUCUCAGGGACGGUAGUAAUGAAACUUCUAAAAGCUAUAUAUGGCAGAGCUUUGAUGAUCCAUCAGACACAAUGUUGCCAGGCAUGAAGGUGGGAUGGAACUUAAAGACUGGUCUACAACGAAAAUUGACAUCAUGGAAAAGUUCUGAUGACCCAUCCCUUGGAGACUUCUCCUACGGAUUUGAUAUUAAUGUGCUGCCUUACCUGGUUCUCGGUGUGGGAUCAAGCAAAAUAGUCCGUUCCGGGCCAUGGAAUGGACUUGAAUUCAAUGGUGUUUAUGUGUUGGACAACUCGGUUUACAAAGCAGUUUUUGUUGCCAACAACGAUGAGGUAUAUGCCCUCUAUGAGUCUAACAACAAUAAGAUCAUUUCAAGACUAACAUUGAACCAUUCAGGUUUCCUCCAGCGUCUGCUAUUAAAAAAAGGGAGCUCUGUAUGGGAUGAAUUGUACUCCAUUCCCAGUGAACUUUGUGAAAAUUAUGGCCAUUGUGGUGCUAAUGGUAUCUGCAGAAUUGGCAAGCUGCAGAUUUGUGAGUGUUUGACAGGUUUCACACCAAAAUCACAAGAAGAAUGGGACAUGUUUAAUACAUCAAGUGGAUGCACACGAAGAAUGCCUUUGGAUUGCCAAAUUGAAGAGGGAUUUGUAAAGGUUACAGGGGUGAAAUUGCCCGACUUGAUAGACUUUCAUGUGAUUAUGGGUGUGAGCCUUAGGGAGUGUAAGGUAUCGUGCUUGAACAACUGUUCUUGUACAGCAUAUGCCUACACAAAUCCUAAUGGAAGCGGUGGCUGUUUGAUGUGGUCUGGGGACCUGAUUGAUAUCAGAGAGUUAACUUCAGAAAAACAUGCAGAGGACAUCUAUAUCCGCAUGCACACUUCAGAGCUAGGUAAGACACUUGAUUUUCUGAAAAUCACUUUUUGAUUGUAAGCUAUUGGGUUGUCUCCAAUAGCCUAAGCCCUAAGUUAUCCUGGUAAAUCAAGAUGCAGAAUUACUUAGAUUCCAAAGUCAGAGAUUCAAUUUCACAAGAAGAUUAUAAUCUAGUUAAAACCAAGACCCUAUAUUAUAUUCCAGAAGAACCAUAGCUGUUAGGAUUCAGGUUAACUAAUGAUGAACUGACUUGUAAAAACCCUAACAAGCAGAAAGCAAACAUCCAAUUCAUUUUCUGAAGAAACAGGGGAAUCUGGGGAAAUGGUUACUUCAUUCUUGUUACUGUCUGUUCCAGGGUUAAACACUAAUCAGAAGAAGAAAAAACUAGUGAUCAUCCUUGUUAUAUCUACCUUUUCUGGAAUCCUCACCUUGGGCUUGUCAUUCUGGUUUCGAUUUUGGAAGAAGAGAACAAUGGGAACAGGUAUGCAUACAAAUCCACCUAGAUGAUUUUAUUGAAGGAAAACCAUGUGGUAGUGCUUUAAAAGCAGCUUCUAAAUUAUUAUCCCAUUUAACAGACCAGGAAAGCAAGAAGGAGAACUUAGAGUUACCUUUGUUUGACUUGCCCACCAUUGCAACUGCUACUAACAACUUCUCUAACACCAACAAGAUUGGAGCAGGUGGCUUUGGGUCUGUGUACAAGGUAAUAUGCGCCCUCUUAUGCAUCAUUGCAUCUUGGUAACCCAAAAAUGAUUUCAAAAGAAAGAAGAAGAGAAAAUAUUUGCAUCUUACACAUCAUAUUUUGCAGGGCAAUCUACCAGAAGGAGUAGCAGUUGCAGUGAAGAGAUUGUCCAAGAAUUCAGCACAGGGUGUUCAAGAGUUCAAGAAUGAAGCUGUUUUGAUUGCAAAACUUCAGCACAAGAAUCUUGUCAGGCUUUUGGGCUGCUGCAUUCAAGGAGAAGAAAGAAUAUUACUCUACGAAUAUAUGCCCAACAAGAGCUUGGAUUAUUUUAUUUUCGGUUUGAGCUUCUUAUCCCUAUCUGCUAGUAUUAGUUUCACUUUUUGAUCACCCAUAUUAUGCUCAUUCAUGUUCAACUCAAUUCACACAUCUAAGUAAUGAAUUAGGCCUAAUAAUAAAAUUUAUAAAGGCAAAAGUAUUGUGCAGAUCAAAACAGAAGAGCAUUAUUGGCAUGGGAUAAGCGUUGCGAGAUUGUUAUGGGGAUAGCACGAGGGCUUCUCUACCUCCAUCAAGACUCUAGAUUUCAAAUUAUUCACAGGGAUCUCAAGACAAGCAAUAUUUUACUGGAUGACAAUCUCAACCCUAAAAUUUCAGACUUUGGCUUGGCAAGAAUUUUUGGAGAGAAUGAAAUGGAAACGAGAACAAAGAGAAUUGUUGGGACUUAGUGAGUAAUAAACCUUUAUAAUCUUAUAAAAUGGAAUUUAUCCCUUCAAAGAACUUAUACUUGAAAAUGUUGGUGCAGUGGCUAUAUGUCCCCGGAGUAUGUGAUUGAUGGGCACUUUUCUAUCAAAUUGGAUGUCUUUAGCUUUGGUGUUCUUUUACUAGAGAUUGUCAGUGGUGAAAAGAACAGAGGGUUCUCUCAUCCAGAUCACCACCAUAACCUUCUGGGACAUGUAAGUAGAAAGACCGCAAUGGUGUUUCCUCUCUCUCUCUCUCUCUCUCAAUUUGUCUCUACUCUCUAGCUUUUUCUAGGUUUUGUGAAAGACAACAAAUAUGAUUUUUGUUCUAGGCAUGGCUGCUGUGGGAACAAAACAGGGCCUUGGAAUUAAUGGAUGCAUGUUUGGAAGAUUCAUGUGUUGCAUCGCAAGUAUUACGAUGCAUACAAGUAGGUUUACUAUGUGUUCAAAACCUUCCAGCAGACAGACCAGCAAUGUCAUCAGUGAUUUUCAUGUUGGGUAACGAGGGAGCAACAUUGCCUCAACCUAAACAUCCUGGUUUCUUCACAGAAAGAUCUUCCGUGGAUACAGAUACAAUGUCAGGAAAGAUAGAGUUACAUUCAGAAAAUGCAGUAACCAUCUCAAUGCUAAAAGGUAGAUAAAGAAUUCAA
rnacentral:lncRNA from 1 species